rnacentral:lncRNA from 1 species
CAUUUUUACAAAUAAAAAUUGGUUUCUUCAUUUCCGUUCCGCGAACUUAUUGAACAACCGUAGUGAAGCAAAAGAAAUGUAUAGUGAAGUGAAUGUGAAUAAGGUGAAAAGGGAUACAUAAUAUUGUAGAAUGAUGAGGUAGCACAUACAUUGCAGAGAAGAAAAGGAUAUAUCUAGGAAUUUUAAAUGGUGGCAAGAGGAUGCUUGAGAAACACUGUGUACAAAUGGUGGAAACAAAUGAGCAUAAGUAACAAGAGAGAAGAAUGAGAAACUGCAAAAUGAUUUUGAGUAAAAUUUUGAAACUAUAUGAGAGGUUUGAACAGAAAACAAGGUUGAAAUGUAUAUAAUAUGAAUAGCAAAGCUUUGCAAGCUGCUUUAGAAGAAUCUGGUUGAUUGAUAAAUAAUGAGAAUAUUUCUAUAUGCUCUUUAAGAUUGCUGAAAAGAGGAAUGAGAUUGAAAGUGAUGAGAAUCUAAUGAAUAAUUGGGAGCAUGAAAGAGAGAAAAUCAAUAUGGAAAUGGUUGUGAUCAUGAUUGGUAAUUUUAAGUAUAGUAAGAGCCCUAGCAUGGAUGAGGUCAUGACUGAGAUGUUGAAGUUUGAUAAAGACCUGUUCUGAAAAGGACAUGAUGCCUAUGUAAGUUAUAUUAGUUAAAUGACAUAGUUCUGAAUGAUUGAACUAAGGAUAUGUUUAUUCCAAUCUACAAGAAGAAGAGAGACAUAUGAGUAUAAGAAUUAUAGAAGCAUAAACCUGCUGAGUAUAGUUAAGAAAGUGGCCAGUAAGAUUCUGAUCAAGAGAAUGAAACAAGUGAUUGAUAAGCAUAUACUAAUUGUACAUUUGUCUUCAGGAAUGGAAGAGAAUGAUAUAUGGACUAAAUAUUCUCAAUGCAUAUGAUUAAGAUAAAUAUUUUCAUAUGAGGAAGAGGAUAUUAUUCACUAUGUGAAUAUUGAGAAGGUAUAUGAUCAUAGAGCUGUGGAGAUUAAUUAAAGAAUAUAGGCUUCAUUAACUGCUUAUAGGAUUUGAGAACAAUGUUUGCUGACAGUUGUAUGAAUAUGAUAGUGAAUGAAGACAUACCAAAGUAGUUUGUAAUUGAGAAAAGGACAAAGAUUAUUCUUUUCCCUAUAUUGAUUGUAUCCAUGAAUAAAUGUAUGAGAGAAGUUGAUAUGAAUGAUUUGAAUGUAAAGAUCAGUGAUGAGAGAUUAUGAUGUCUUCUAUAUGGCACUGACCUGGUUCUGAGAAUGCUUGUUGUGCAAUUAAAUGAAUCAUAUAACAAGAAGUAGAUAAGAAUAAAUGUGAGAAAGAUGAAAUUGCUUGUGUCUGAAAGAAAUGAGAAGCAUAUUAGAUAUGAGAUUAAAUUGAAGGAGAUGAAUUUGGAGCAGGUGAAUGAGUUUAUAUAGUUAGGAAAGAUGUUUCAUAUAGAAGAUUGCAUUGAUAGUAAGACUGCAAGUAAAAAAAUGCUGAAUUAAAAAUUAUAGAUACACUUGGGAAAUAUGUUUAAAAUGAG